CCUACGGGUGGCAGCAGUAGGGAAUCUUCCACAAUGGGCGAAAGCCUGAUGCAGCAACGCCGCGUGGGUGAAGAAGGUCUUCGGAUCGUAAAACCCUGUUGUUAGAGAAGAAAGUGCGUGAGAGUAACUGUUCACGUUUCGACGGUAUCUAACCAGAAAGCCACGGCUAACUACGUGCCAGCAGCCGCGGUAAUACGUAGGUGGCAAGCGUUAUCCGGAUUUAUUGGGCGUAAAGGGAACGCAGGCGGUCUUUUAAGUCUGAUGUGAAAGCCUUCGGCUUAACCGGAGUAGUGCAUUGGAAACUGGGAGACUUGAGUGCAGAAGAGGAGAGUGGAACUCCAUGUGUAGCGGUGAAAUGCGUAGAUAUAUGGAAGAACACCAGUGGCGAAAGCGGCUCUCUGGUCUGUAACUGACGCUGAGGUUCGAAAGCGUGGGUAGCAAACAGGAUUAGAUACCCUUGUAGUC
rnacentral:rRNA from 1 species